rnacentral:rRNA from 1 species
UACGGGAGGCAGCAGUGAGGAAUUUUGCGCAAUGGGGGAAACCCUGACGCAGCAACGCCGCGUGAGUGAUGAAGGCUUUCGGGUCGUAAAGCUCUGUCAAGUGGGAAGAACCCACUGGGUGCCAAUACCAUCCAGUGCUGACGGUACCACUGAAGGAAGCACCGGCUAACUCCGUGCCAGCAGCCGCGGUAAU